rnacentral:misc_RNA from 1 species
AAGAGCCGUAUGCCUUAAUUGGGCACGUACGGAUCUGUGAGGGGUAAGGGGCACAAUCUCAAAGGAGAGGCCCCACCUACUCGAC